AGCCGUGCGUUGAGCACAAAGCGAACUAUUCUUUCGCCUUUUACUAAAGAAUACCGUGUGCUCGUCGCAUGAAGCGGCAUACGCCUAUUUUUGGAAAGGAACCUUAAUUAGGGUCCU